AUGCCUGUGGACCUCCACGCACUCCUGAGACAUACAACGCGGCUGUUACUGAGCUUCAGACUAAUAACACUGAAGACGUCCGCGGAAUAAAGUGCAAAUAUGAGUGACACAGAGCGAAUGUUCUUAGAUGAUGCCAUCAUGGAAGUACUACCAGACCUUCCACCGGCAACCAAAAACAUCCUCCAAGAACACUUGCAAUCCAUUGGAGUUGAGAUGUAUGAUGAUCUACAUUUCAUACAGGAGGCUGAUUUAAUGACUGCAUUAAGACCUAUACAAGCCAGAAAACUUCUUUCUGUUUGGAAACAGAAAUACCAGACUCCUGAGCCCAGCUCACUGUCAUCUAUCUAUCAGUUUCUCCCCGAAGUUCAUCUUCAACCUCCUCCAGUAGUAGCAGCCCAGGACUCGAUACACAGUGGGAG